rnacentral:rRNA from 1 species
UCGACUCCAUGAAGUCGGAAUCGCUAGUAAUCGUGGAUCAGAAUGCCACGGUGAAUACGUUCCCGGGCCUUGUACACACCGCCCGUCACACCAUGGGAGUGGGUUGCAAAAGAAGUAGGUAGCUUAACCUUCGGGAGGGCGCUUACCACUUUGUGAUUCAUGACUGGGGUGAAGUCGUAACAAGGUAACCGUAGGGGAACCUGCGGUUGGA